ACCCCCUUAUGAUUCAUCCCCCCCAAACUCAAUCCCAGCCUUCCCUUUGAGGUAUGGUACCUUGCAGAGUACAAUUUCAGAGAGAUCCAUACACUUGAACACAAGUUAUUGUCCUGAAACUAGAAAAAUGCUUGUUUUUUUGCCCCUUUAUGGCCCCUAAUUCCUAUAAUUUGGAGGCAAUUACCCCCAAAAUCAAUCCCAGCCUUCCCUUUGUGGUAUGGUACCUUGCAGUACAAUUUCAGAGAUAUCCAUACACUUGAACACGUUAUUGUCUGGAAACUAGGAAAAUGCUUAUUUUUGGCCCCUUAUUCCUAAAUGUUUUGGGCAAUUACCCCCAAACUCAAUUACAGCUUUCCCUUUGUGACAUGGAACCUUGUAGUACAAUUUCAUAAAGAUCCAUACACUUACACACAAGUUAUUGUCAUGAAACUAGAAAAAUGCUUGUUUUUUGCCCCUUUUUGGCCCCUAAUUCCUAAAAUUUGGAGGCAAUUACCCCCAAAAUCAAUCCCAGCCUUCCCUUUGUGGUAUGGUACCUUGCAGUACAAUUUCAGAGAGAUCCAUACACUUGAACACAAGUUAUUGUCUGGAAACUAGAAAAAUGCUUAUUUUUGGCCCCUUAUUCCUAAACGUUUUGGGCAAUUACCCCCAAACUCAAGUACAGCUUUCCCUUUGUGAUAUGGAACCUUGUGGUACAAUUUCAUAAAGAUCCAUACACUUGAACACAAUUUAUUGUCAUGAAACUAGAAAAAUGCUUGUUUUUUGCCCCUUUUUGGCCCCUAAUUCCUAAAAUUUUGAGGCAAUUACCCCCAAAAUCAAUCCCAGCAUUCCCUUUGUGAUAUGGAACAUUGUGGUACAAUGUCAGAAAGAUCCAUAAACUUACACAAAAGUUAUUGUCAUGAAACUAGAAAAAUGCUUGUUUUUUGCCCCUUUUUGGCCCCAAAUUCCUAAAAUUUGGAGGCAAUUACCCCCAAAAUCAAUCCCAGCAUUCCCUUUGUGAUAUGGAAUUUUGUGGUACAAUGUCAGAGAGAUCCAUACACUAACACACAAGUUAUGUCUGGAAGUUACAAAAAUGCUUAUUUUUGGCCCCUUUUUCCUUAACUGUUGGUACCAUAACCCCCAAAAUCAAUCCCCACCUUCCUUUUGUGGUAUUGAACCUUAUGGUAAAAUUUCAUAGAGAUCCAUUCACCUAAACUAAAGUUAGAGUACGAAAACCAAUGUGUCUUCGGACGACGACGACGAUGACGACGCCAACGUCAUACCAAUAUACGACCUCAAAAUUUUUUUGCGGUCGUAUAAAAACAUAUU